rnacentral:rRNA from 1 species
UACGUAGGGUGCAAGCGUUGUCCGGAAUUACUGGGCGUAAAGAGCUCGUAGGUGGUUUGUCGCGUUGUUCGUGAAAACUCACAGCUUAACUGUGGGCGUGCGGGCGAUACGGGCAGACUGGAGUACUGCAGGGGAGACUGGAAUUCCUGGUGUAGCGGUGAAAUGCGCAGAUAUCAGGAGGAACACCCGUGGCGAAGGCGGUUCUCUGGGACGGUACUGACGCUGGAGAACGCGAAAGCCGUGGGGAGCGAACAGG